AUGGCGGCGCGAAUCGCGAUCAUCAACGAGGAUAGGUGCAAGCCCAAGAAGUGCCGCCAGGAGUGCAGGAAGAGCUGCCCCGUCGUCAAGACCGGGAAGCAUUGUAUUGAAGUUACUCCGGCGUCCAAGUCCGCGUUCAUCUCUGAAGAGCUGUGCAUUGGUUGUGGUAUUUGCGUCAAGAAAUGCCCAUUUGGUGCCAUUCAGAUCAUCAACCUCCCAAAAGAUUUGGAUAAAGAUACCACCCAUCGCUAUGGCCCAAAUACCUUCAAAUUGCACAGUGCUUGCAGGUUGCCUGUUCCGAGACCUGGCCAGGUUUUGGGCCUUGUUGGAGCCAAUGGAAUUGGAAAGUCGACAGCUCUUAAGGUGUUAUGUGGCAAGUUGAAACCUAAUUUGGGGAAAUUCGAUAAUCCGCCUGACUGGCAGGAAAUCCUUACAUACUUCCGGGGGUCUGAACUUCAGAAUUACUUUACGCGUCUGUUGGAGGAUAAUCUCAAGGCAAUCAUAAAGCGUCAAGACGUUGAAAGCAUUCCGAAAGCAGUUCAAGGGAAUGUCGGUCAACUACUUGACAAGUUAGACCAGAGGGGUGUUAAAGCUCAAUUGUGCAUUGACCUUGAAUUGAACCAAGUUCUGGACCGGAAUGUAGAAGAUCUUUCCGGUGGUGAGCUGCAGAGAUUUGCCAUAGCAGGCACUGCUGCACAAAGUGCAGACAUUUACAUGUUUGACGAACCAUCAGUUUACCUUGAUGUCAAGCAGAGGCUUAAAGCUGCACAAGUCAUUAGGUCCUUGCUUAGAGCAAACAGCUAUGUAAUCGUUGUGGAACAUGAUUUGAGUGUCUUGGAUUACAUGUCCGAUUUUAUUUGCUGUUCGUAUGGGAAACCAGGAGCAUUUGGUGUAGUUACGCUGCCAUUUUCAGUCAGAGAAGGUAUCAAUGUUUUCCUGGCUGGAUUUGUUCCAACAGAAAAUCUUCGGUUUCGAGAUGAAGCACUUACAUUUAAGAUUGUCGAGGCCCAGGAAAAUGCUGAAGAGAUUGAGACAUACCAGCGGUACAAGUACCCUACCAUGAGCAAAACAAUUGGAAAUUUCAAGCUCACUGUCAUGGAAGGUGAAUUCACUGAUUCUCAGAUUGUUGUGAUGCUUGGUGAGAACGGGACAGGGAAAACUACGUUCAUCAAAAUGCUGGCUGGGCGGCUGAAGCCAGAUACUGUGGAAGGAGCUGAGAUUGAAAUUCCUAAAUUUUAUGUGUCCCACAAGCCUCAGCAGCUUGAAACAAAAUUCCAGGGCACAGUGAGUCAAUUGCUUCAUCAGAAAAUACCAGAAUCAUGUACUCAUCCUCAAUUUAGGUCUGAUGUCAUUAAACCACUACAAAUUGAGCAACUCAUGGACCGGGUAGUUACAAAUUUAUCGGGUGGAGAACGCCAAAGAGUGGCAUUAUGUCUUUGCCUUGGAAAGCCUGCAGAUAUUUAUCUGAUCGAUGAACCAAGUGCAUCUCUUGAUUCAGAGCAGCGCAUUGUUGCCUCAAAGGUUAUCAAAAGAUUCAUCUUUCAUGCAAAGAAAACCGCAUUUGUUGUUGAGCAUGACUUCAUCAUGGCAACCUACUUAGCUGACAAGGUUAUUGUUUACGAGGGACGGCCUUCUGUAGACUGUACUGCUAAUGCACCUCAGACUUUACUCUCUGGGAUGAAUAAAUUCCUAUCGCAACUUGACAUCACGUUCAGAAGAGACCCAACCAACUAUAGGCCGCGGAUAAACAAGCUGGACUCUACGAAAGACAAAGAACAAAAGUCUGUAGGGUCCUACUACUACCUGUGA
rnacentral:rRNA from 1 species